rnacentral:rRNA from 1 species
AGAGUUUGAUCAUGGCUCAGGACGAACGCUGGCGGCGUGCUUAACACAUGCAAGUCGAACGGAAAGGCCCAGCUUGCUGGGUACUCGAGUGGCGAACGGGUGAGUAACACGUGGGUGAUCUGCCCUGCACUCUGGGAUAAGCCUGGGAAACUGGGUCUAAUACCGGAUAUGACCAACUGUCGCAUGGUGGUUGGUGGAAAGCUUUUGCGGUGUGGGAUGGGCCCGCGGCCUAUCAGCUUGUUGGUGGGGUAAUGGCCUACCAAGGCGACGACGGGUAGCCGACCUGAGAGGGUGAUCGGCCACACUGGGACUGAGACACGGCCCAGACUCCUACGGGAGGCAGCAGUGGGGAAUAUUGCACAAUGGGCGCAAGCCUGAUGCAGCGACGCCGCGUGAGGGAUGACGGCCUUCGGGUUGUAAACCUCUUUCACCAGGGACGAAGCGCAAGUGACGGUACCUGGAGAAGAAGCACCGGCCAACUACGUGCCAGCAGCCGCGGUAAUACGUAGGGUGCGAGCGUUGUCCGGAAUUACUGGGCGUAAAGAGCUCGUAGGCGGUUUGUCGCGUCGUCUGUGAAAUUCUGCAACUCAAUUGCAGGCGUGCAGGCGAUACGGGCAGACUUGAGUACUACAGGGGAGACUGGAAUUCCUGGUGUAGCGGUGAAAUGCGCGAUAUCAGGAGGAACACCGGUGGCGAAGGCGGGUCUCUGGGUAGUAACUGACGCUGAGGAGCGAAAGCGUGGGUAGCGAACAGGAUUAGAUACCCUGGUAGUCC